rnacentral:rRNA from 1 species
GUAGGUGGCAAGCGUUGUCCGGAAUUAUUGGGCGUAAAGCGCGCGCAGGCGGUCCUUUAAGUCUGAUGUGAAAGCCCACGGCUCAACCGUGGAGGGUCAUUGGAAACUGGGGGACUUGAGUACAGAAGAGGAAAGCGGAAUUCCAAGUGUAGCGGUGAAAUGCGUAGAGAUUUGGAGGAACACCAGUGGCGAAGGCGGCUUUCUGGUCUGUAACUGACGCUGAGGCGCGAAAGCGUGGGGAGCAAACAGGGAUUAGAUACCCUGGUAGUCCACGCCGUAAACGAUGAGUGCUAAGUGUUAGGGGGGUUUCCCGCCCCUUAGUGCUGCAGCUAACGCAUUAAGCACUCCGCCUGGGGAUACGGCCGCAAGGCUG